UCACAGCUGCAUUCUGGGUAGCGCGUCCGGCUCGGCAGCGCCUUUCCCGUCAAGCUCGCCAGUUCAUCAGCGACCCGCUGCGGCCUGUUUGCCGGAAACCGGCCCGUAUAAAUGUGCCGUCUUACCGCAGCGGGCCCUCCCAGCAGCCAAUCAGAGCGCGGGGAGGAGGCGGCAUGGGAGCGAAUUAAUCAGGACGACGAACGAACGAGGACGGAUCCCAAAUAAAAAACAAAUCCUUUUUUUCAGGACUUAUUCCCAUUAAAAGCAGCUUCUGUUUGUGAUUGAGCCUCUGCAGCGGGAGUCCAGCUGCUUUAACCGACACAGAAAGACUCUCAUGAUCCUGAUCUGCCGGCGCCUCUAACCUGGAUGUGAACCUCAGUGAAACGCCACCAGCGUCCGAGGCUGAGCAGACGCUCGCUGCGUGCGGCGGCCGGCGCUACAAAUGGGCUCUGCAGGCGCUGCUUCCUUCAGAAAGGCUCGCCGUUACUGGAGCGCGGAGUGACGGGGGGCCUGUUUAUGUAUUCAUUGAAGACUGAAGUGAUUUUCUUUGACAUGACAGCAUGACUCCGCCCACGUCCUCCUGAGGUGGAUCGUAACCAGCCAGCUUCAAAAUGCAAAGGAGACACUGGACCAAAAGAAAUGUCAAUCAGCUGAUCAAAAGCUCAAGAUCACAGCCUUAAAAAGUCAAAAACUCUGUUCAAUAAUCUGACUUUCAUGUCACUUUCUGUCAGGGUUUCACAUGGACUGAAAGGUUUUCUGUGUUUAAACGAGACGGACCUGUAAUCAAAAUGAGCUGAACCGACAGCAGCAGGACUCUCCCAACAAUACAUCAUCUUCUUGGUAUGUUUUACCUUCUUCAAAAGAUCCUGAUCAAAAAGAAAUAAAGUUGUAGACCUGAAAUUGUGUUGUAAAGCAAUCUUCACCUGAUGUCCCUCUGCUCUCCUCACAUCACGGCCAUCCAAGCAAAUGGUCAACAUGAGCGCUCAGGCUGUCCACUACGGAUCACUUUCCAUCAUUUUAGUUCAGUUUUGAAGCUAAUCGUUCCACGCUUUGAAUGAGCCGAUGU